AUUGAACGCUGGCGGCAGGCCUAACACAUGCAAGUCGAACGAGUGGCGGACGGGUGAGUAAUGUCUGGGAAACUGCCCGAUGGAGGGGGAUAACUACUGGAAACGGUAGCUAAUACCGCAUACCAUCGGAUGUGCCCAGAUGGGAUUAGCUAGUAGGUGGGGUAACGGCGCACCUAGGCGACGCUCCCUAGCUGGUCUGAGUGGAUGCACAGCCAUACGUGAACUGAGACACGGUCCAGACUCCUACGGGAGGCAGCAGUGGGGAAUAUUGCACAAGGGGCGCAAGCCUUAUGCAGCCAUGCCGCGUGUAUGAAGAAGGCCUUCGGGUUGUAAAGUACUUUCAGCGAGGAGGCGUUACUCGCAGAAGAAGCACCGGCUAACUCCGUGCCAGCAGCCGCGGUAAUAC
rnacentral:rRNA from 1 species